rnacentral:rRNA from 1 species
AUCUACCAUUUAGUGGGGAAUAACUGUUGGAAACGACAGCUAAUACCGCAUAAUAUUGCUGGAUAAUUUCCAGUAAUGAAAGGAGCUUUCAAGCUCCGCUGAUUGAUGAGGAUGCGGCGCAUUAGCUAGUUGGUAGGGUAAUGGCCUACCAAGGCAAUGAUGCGUAGCCGAUCUGAGAGGAUGAACGGCCACAUUGGGACUGAGACACGGCCCAAACUUCUACGGAAGGCAGCAGUAGGGAAUUUUUCACAAUGGGCGAAAGCCUGAUGGAGCAAUGCCGCGUGACUGAUGAAGGUCUUCGGAUUGUAAAGGUCUGUUGUAAGGGAAGAAAUGGUAAAACAGGAAAUGGUUUUAUCUAUGACGGUACCUUACCAGAAAGCCACGGCUAACUAUGUGCCNGCAGCCGCGGUAAUACAUAGGUGGCAAGCGUUAUCCGGAUUUAUUGGGCGUAAAGGGUGCGUAGACGGNUUUGCAAGUCUGANGUUAAAUUUAGGAGCUCAACUCCUAAUCGCCUUGGAAACUACAAGACUAGAGUAUANGAGAGGUUAGUGGAAUUC